CGCAUUUAUUAGAUAAAAAGCCAAUGCAUGCUUUUACAGUAUGAAAAUUGGUGAUUUAUAAUAACUUAGCAAAUCGCAAAGUGAAAACAGGCGAUAAAUCAUUCAAGUUUCUGACCUAUCAGCUUUCGACGGUAUGGUAUUGGCUUACCGUGGCAGUGACGGUUAACGGGGGAUUAGGGUUCGAUUCCGGAGAGGGAGCCUGAGAAACGGCUACCACAUCUAAGGAAGGCAGCAGGCGCGCAAAUUACCCAAUUCUAACAGUUUGAGAGAGGUAGUAACAAGAAAUAACAAUACAAGGCAGUUAAAAUGCUUUGUAAUUGGAAUGAUAGAAAUUUAAACCCUUUUUAAAGUAUCAAUUGGAGGGCAAGUCUGGUGCCAGCAGCCGCGGUAAUUCCAGCUCCAAUAGCGUAUAUUAAAAUUGUUGCAGUUAAAAAGCUCGUAGUUGAAGUUCUGCUAAAAGUAACCGGUCUGCUUUUAAUAAAGGUGGUAUCUUGGUGUGUAUUUAGCAAUGAUGUCCUUUGAAGUGUUUUUUACUUUAUUGUAAUAAAGCAUAUUCAGGACUUUUACUUUGAGAAAAUUAGAGUGUUUCUAGCAGGC
rnacentral:rRNA from 1 species